AUCAUACGGGAAAAUCCACGU
rnacentral:miRNA from 1 species